UUCCUACGGGGCGCAGCAGUGAGGAAUAUUGGUCAAUGGUCGGGAGACUGAACCAGCCAAGCCGCGUGAGGGAUGAAGGUACAGAGUAUCGUAAACCUCUUUUGUCAGGGAACAAAGGCGGGGACGCGUCCCCGGAUGAGUGUACCUGAAGAAAAAGCAUCGGCUAACUCCGUGCCAGCAGCCGCGGUAAUACGUAGGUGGCGAGCGUUAUCCGGAAUGAUUGGGCGUAAAGGGUGCGUAGGCGGCCUGCUAAGUUUGGAGUGAAAGGUACCGGCUCAACCGGUACAGGCUCUGGAGACUGGCGG
rnacentral:rRNA from 1 species